UACGGAGGGUGCGAGCGUUGUCCGGAAUCAUUGGGCGUAAAGGGCGCGUAGGUGGCUUCUCAAGCGUGCGGUGAAAGCCUGGGGCUCAACCCCGGGUCGGCCGUGCGAACUGGGGGGCUGGAGCACUGUAGAGGCAGGCGGAAUUCCGGGUGUAGCGGUGGAAUGCGUAGAGAUCCGGAAGAACACCGGUGGCGAAGGCGGCCUGCUGGGCAGUUGCUGACACUGAGGCGCGACAGCGUGGGGAGCAACAGG
rnacentral:rRNA from 1 species